GCGAGCUGUCUGGAAGCUUCCACUCCUCCCUGCUGAGCAACUACUAAAAAUUGUCUGUUAUGACUUGGAUAUUUCUAGAAACCAGUCUCCAAGCAAACAUAAAACCCAUCACACCUAGUUUGGCUUAAAAGCAGUGUUUGGUCAAUAAUGCAAAUUUAUUGGAAAAAUGAAGCACAUGUAUGACAGAAUAUCAAGAAGAAGCACUCAAGCAGUAGUCUCACAGUUACUAUCUCUAGAUUGCAGCAACCUGGAUGAUCAGUCGAUGGUCGCAAAUAAAAUCG